rnacentral:rRNA from 1 species
AACAGGAUUAGAUACCCUGGUAGUCCAUGCCGUAAACGAUGAGUGCUAAGUGUUGGGAGGUUUCCGCCUCUCAGUGCUGCAGCUAACGCAUUAAGCACUCCGCCUGGGGAGUACGACCGCAAGGUUGAAACUCAAAGGAAUUGACGGGGGCCCGCACAAGCGGUGGAGCAUGUGGUUUAAUUCGAAGCGACGCGAAGAACCUUACCAGGUCUUGACAUCCAUAGCCAGUCUAAGAGAUUAGAUGUUCCCUUCGGGGACUAUGAGACAGGUGGUGCAUGGCUGUCGUCAGCUCGUGUCGUGAGAUGUUGGGUUAAGUCCCGCAACGAGCGCAACCCUUGUCAUUAGUUGCCAGCAUUAAGUUGGGCACUCUAAUGAGACUGCCGGUGACAAACCGGAGGAAGGUGGGGAUGACGUCAAGUCAUCAUGCCCCUUAUGACCUGGGCUACACACGUGCUACAAUGGACGGUACAACGAGAAGCGACCCUGUGAAGGCAAGCGGAUCUCUGAAAGCCGUUCUCAGUUCGGAUUGCAGGCUGCAACUCGCCUGCAUGAAGCUGGAAUCGCUAGUAAUCGCAAAUCAGCACGUUGCGGUGAAUACGUUCCCGGGCCCUGUACACACCGCCCGUCACACCAUGAGAGUUUGUAACGCCCGAAGCCGGCGGGAUAACCGAAAGGAGUCAGCCGUCUAAGGCGGGACAGAUGAUUAGGGUGAA